ACAAAAAUCAAAAUAUUUUUUCACCGGGCCGCAGUGAAAAUAUCGGAAAAUAAAUUGCCAUUGGUUAUAACUUAUAAGAAACUAAGAAAUAAUAACGAACUAAACGUGAGCCGUGACUCGUGGACAAGGUGUAUACCAAUUUGGUGUCCAAUUUGGUGGACAAGGUGUAUCUAUACCAAUUUAUUAAAUUGGUCAUGGACGAGUGGCGACUAGGACUAGCAAGUAAAGAAUAAAGAUUACUGAAUAGGUGUAACCAGUGGAGCCGUAAGGAUAACUAUUGUAUACUCCGAACGGCUUGAGUAUAGAAAUGCCAUAUGGGAAGAUAGCAGAGUGUAUUUUUGCGUUACUAUGUUUAGUCUGUUGCAGUAUAAAAUCUACAAACGUGCUGAUGACCUAACACAUAGGCGCCCAUCAUAAGUAACAUUUUAA